GAUACAUCUAUUUUUUUUAUUUUAUUUUUUGUAUUUUUCCCCUUUCUUUUUCGAUUUUGAAGGCUAUCGUCCUCUCUUCUCCAAAUGAGUUUUUCUUUUUUUGUCAGUUUUCUGAAGAGAUCCAGUUUGUGUUUCAGCGAUUCUUCUCUUGAUUCUGUUUCAUUUUUAUUGCUUCUGCCGAUGAUCUUUUUCUGGAAGGAAGAAGUGGAAGUAGAAUAUAAUUCUUUUCUAUCAAGCAGGAAUUCGUCCACACCCAGAUGACAAAAAGCAAAGGCUGAAGAAACUGGAUCUCAAUCCGCGGCAGGUCUAAGUUCUGGUUCCAAAUCUGAUGAAUCCAGAUGAAGGGGGAAAUCUUUUGAAGAAUCUGAAAAUAGUCUAUGAAGAGAAGUCAAGACGUCAAUGCUGAUUCUCCAAUUGUUUCUGAGUUUGAUUAUGUUUCUGAAUUGAAGUGACAUAAUUGUUUUCUACCAAGGUGUGCCAUCUUCUACAAAAUGCAAAUGAAGAAUUGAAAAACUGCAGAGAGAGCCUUGUAGAGUGUUAAUUUGAUUGUAUUGUGUACAAUCGUAGAAUAUUUUUUUGUUUUAUUUUGGUAGAAACAAUUGUAGAAUAAUUGUAAAUAUAAAAGAUGAAGAUUCUUGUGGGUUUGGGAGGAAGAAGACUGCCGGGAUUACCAGGUCUCUUCCUCUCUCUCUGCUGUGGGUGUGAUGUGGUGUGUGUCCCCGUCUCUUUCUCUCUUUCACUUCUCCAAUUUUUCA